AUUGAACGCUGGCGGCAUGCUUUACACAUGCCAGUCGAACGGUAACAGGCCUUCGGGUGCUGACGAGUGGCGAACGGGUGAGUAAUGCAUCGGAACGUACCCAGAGGUGGGGGAUAACGCAGCGAAAGCUGUGCUAAUACCGCAUGUGAUCUGAGGAUGAAAGCGGGGGACCGAGCAGCAAUGUUUGGCCUCGCGCCUUUGGAGCGGCCGAUGUCGGAUUAGCGAGGUGGGGGGGUAAAGGCCCACCAAGGCGACGAUCCGUAGCUGGUCUGAGAGGACGACCAGCCACACUGGGACUGAGACACGGCCCAGACUCCUACGGGAGGCAGCAGUGGGGAAUUUUGGACAAUGGGCGCAAGCCUGAUCCAGCAAUGCCGCGUGCGGGAAGAAGGCCUUCGGGUUGCAAACCGCUUUUGGCAGGAACGAAACGGUGUCCGCUAAUACCGGGCGCUAAUGACGGUACCUGCAGAAUAAGCACCGGCUAACUACGUG
rnacentral:rRNA from 1 species